GUAUGAUAGCACUACACUCAAAGC
rnacentral:siRNA from 1 species